GGAGUGUUGUUGUUAGGAAUAUGGCAAUAAAAGAGAAAAGAGAAAAAUAAAUUACGCAAAAAUUUAACAUAGUUUAGCUUAUAAAUGCCUACUUCCACAAUAAGUAUAUUUAUUUUUGGUGUCUCUUUCAAGCAUUAUACAGGGUUGCUUAUAAACUUAAAUAGAGAAUAAUAUAUCACAAUAUUAAGCGAUAUGGAACUAAGUUAAGCUCCAUAAUACUAGCAAUUCUCC
rnacentral:lncRNA from 1 species